UACAGAGGUCCCAAGCGUUGUUCGGAUUCACUGGGCGUAAAGGGUGCGCAGGUGGUCGGGUAAGUCUGAUGUGAAAUCCCGCAGCUUAACUGCGGAAUGGCAUUGGAUACUAUUCGGCUAGAGGGUUGGAGGGGGGACUGGAAUUCUCGGUGUAGCAGUGAAAUGCGCAGAUAUCAGGAGGAACACCCGUAGCGAAGGCGGCACUCUGGGCCGAUACUGACACUGAGGAGCGAAAGCGUGGGGAGCGAACAGG
rnacentral:rRNA from 1 species